AAGGGUGCGUAACACGUGGGCAAUCUACCGAGAAGUGGGGGAUAGCUCGCCGAAAGGCGAAUUAAUACCGCAUAUGACCCUGGGUAACCUUACCUGGGCGUCAAAGCCGGGGCAACCUGGCGCUUCCUGAUGAGCCCGCGGCCUAUCAGCUAGUUGGUGAGGUAACGGCUCACCAAGGCUAUGACGGGUAGCUGGUCUGAGAGGACGACCAGCCACACUGGAACUGAGACACGGUCCAGACACCUACGGGUGGCAGCAGUCGAGAAUUUUUCACAAUGGGGGAAACCCUGAUGGAGCGACGCCGCGUGGAGGAUGAAGGUCUUCGGAUUGUAAACUCCUGUCAUUGGUGAACAAGAUCGGCCGGGUAACUCCGUUGCCGGUUUGCUAGUAGCCGAAGAGGAAGGGACGGCUAACUCUGUGCCAGCAGCCGCGGUAAUACAGAGGUCCCGAGCGUUGUUCGGAUUUAUUGGGCGUAAAGGGUGCGUAGGCGGCGGAGUAAGUUGGGUGUGAAAUCCCGGGGCUUAACCUCGGAAUUGCAUUCAAUACUGCUUCGCUCGAGUACUGGAGAGGAGGCUGGAAU
rnacentral:rRNA from 1 species